AUUGAACGCUGGCGGCAUGCCUUACACAUGCAAGUCGAACGGCAGCACGGGUGCUUGCACCUGGUGGCGAGUGGCGAACGGGUGAGUAAUACAUCGGAACAUGUCCUGUAGGGGGGGAUAGCCCGGCGAAAGCCGGAUUAAUACCGCAUACGAUCCACGGAUGAAAGCGGGGGACCUUCGGGCCUCGCGCUAUAGGGUUGGCCGAUGGCUGAUUAGCUAGUUGGUGGGGUAAAGGCCUACCAAGGCGACGAUCAGUAGCUGGUCUGAGAGGACGACCAGCCACACUGGGACUGAGACACGGCCCAGACUCCUACGGGAGGCAGCAGUGGGGAAUUUUGGACAAUGGGCGAAAGCCUGAUCCAGCAAUGCCGCGUGUGUGAAGAAGGCCUUCGGGUUGUAAAGCACUUUUGUCCGGAAAGAAAUCCUUGACUCUAAUACAGUCGGGGGAUGACGGUACCGGAAGAAUAAGCACCGGCUAACUACGUG
rnacentral:rRNA from 1 species